rnacentral:rRNA from 1 species
UGAACGCUGGCGGCGUGCCUAAUACAUGCAAGUCGCGCGAACAGACGAGGAGCUUGCUCCUUUGACGUUAGCGGCGGACGGGUGAGUAACACGUGGAUAACCUACCUAUAAGACUGGGAUAACUUCGGGAAACCGGAGCUAAUACCGGAUAACAUGUUGAACCGCAUGGUUCAACAGUGAAAGACGGUCUUGCUGUCACUUAUAGAUGGAUCCGCGCCGCAUUAGCUAGUUGGUAAGGUAACGGCUUACCAAGGCAACGAUGCGUAGCCGACCUGAGAGGGUGAUCGGCCACACUGGAACUGAGACACGGUCCAGACUCCUACGGGAGGCAGCAGUAGGGAAUCUUCCGCAAUGGGCGAAAGCCUGACGGAGCAACGCCGCGUGAGUGAAGAAGGUCUUCGGAUCGUAAAACUCUGUUAUUAGGGAAGAACAAAUGUGUAAGUAACUAUGCACGUCUUGACGGUACCUAAUCAGAAAGCCACGGCUAACUACGUG